rnacentral:rRNA from 1 species
UACGUAGGGAGCAAGCGUUGUCCGGAUUUAUUGGGCGUAAAGAGCUCGUAGGCGGCUUAGCAAGUCGGGUGUGAAACCUCCAGGCUCAACCUGGAGACGCCACUCGAUACUGCUAUGGCUUGAGUUCGGUAGGGGACCAUGGAAUUCCUGGUGUAGCGGUGAAAUGCGCAGAUAUCAGGAGGAACCCCGAUGGCGAAGGCAGUGGUCUGGGCCGAUACUGACGCUGAGGAGCGAAAGCGUGGGGAGCGAACAGG